AUGGCCCCGAAUCAGACCAGUAGUUUUCUGAAGCUGUUGGUUUCAAGCAGGAGCCUAAACUGCUAUCUUUCUAUAGUCUGUUGUCUACUUCAGAACCUUGAAAUGUAAUGGUCAAUUCAUUAUAAAGGAACAACU
ensembl:snoRNA small nucleolar RNA SNORA2/SNORA34 family